rnacentral:rRNA from 1 species
AUACGUAGGGUGCGAGCGUUGUCCGGAAUUACUGGGCGUAAAGAGCUCGUAGGUGGUUUGUCGCGUCGUCUGUGAAAUUCCGGGGCUUAACUCCGGGCGUGCAGGCGAUACGGGCAUAACUUGAGUACUGUAGGGGAGACUGGAAUUCCUGGUGUAGCGGUGAAAUGCGCAGAUAUCAGGAGGAACACCGGUGGCGAAGGCGGGUCGCUGGGCAGUAACUGACGCUGAGGAGCGAGAGCAUGGGUAGCGAACAGGAUUAGAUACCCUGGUAGUCCAUGCCGUAAACGGUGGGCGCUAGGUGUAGGGGUCUUCCACGACUUCUGUGCCGUAGCUAACGCAUUAAGCGCCCCGCCUGGGGAGUACGGCCGCAAGGCUAAAACUCAAAUGAAUUGACGGGG